rnacentral:rRNA from 1 species
GUUGAACGCUAGCGGGAUGCCUUACACAUGCAAGUCGAACGGCGUGGCGAAAGAGUGGGUAAUGUAUCGGAACGUGCCCGUUAGCGGGGGAUACAUACGAGAGAGCGUAGAUAAUACCGCAUACGAUUGGGGCGGCCGCUAGGGGAUUGGAUGGAUGGUGGGGUAACGGCUCACCAAGGCGACGAUCCGUAGCUGGUUUGAGAGGACGAUCCGCCACACUGGGACUGAGACACGGCCCAGACUCCUACGGGAGGCAGCAGUGGGGAAUUGUGGACAAUGGGGGAAACCCUGACCCAGCCACCCCGCUUGAGUGAUGAAGGCCUUCGGGUUGUAAAGCACUUUUGUCAGGAAAGCGGUACCUGCAGAAUAAGCAACGGCUAACUACGUGCCAGCAGCCGCGGUAAUAC